rnacentral:lncRNA from 1 species
UAAUUUGGAACCAAAACGAACUAAAACUAGAUCUAAGCCAUUUUCAAUACAAAAAUAUAGAUGUCACACAUUAAAAGCUUCUUUGGUGUUGCAUAAUCAUUAAAUAUAGUUGUCACGGUUGAAUCAACAGACAUUAUUGCUGGAUCGGAAUUUUAAAACUAAGUUCCUCACAGCCGUCAUAACAUUUCAAUGAGCAACUUCAGUAAUUUAGAACCGAAACAAACUAAAACUAAGUAUGAACCAUUUUCAAUGUAAAAUAUAAACGCAUAAAUCACAAAAUUAAAACAUUUAACUUCACCAUUAGAAUCAAGGAUGAUAAAAAACACAAGUUGAUUCUUUUAUUCCCCUUACAUUAUGACUUAAUCAUACAUAUCCCCCAAGAGAUCUUGAACCGAUAAAUAAAUGUCAUAUAUACAAAGUUUGAAAUGUCUAAUUAUACUAUUAUUGUAUAUAUUUCAAACCAAUUUAUAUGAAGCAAGCAGUGGUCUAUUUGGAUAAUCACUUCCUACAUGCAACAUCUGAUGGUGUAUCCACUUUCUCAAAAAUAAAAAACUCACAUAUCAUAAGCAUUCCAAGUUAUCUCUAAUUAAAUUCCCAGCAAAAUUCAAAAGGCAAGAACUAAAAAGUAAAAGAAAAACAAGCAUGUGAGUAUCACUCAGAAAAUCAAUGUUAUUUGUCAUAGCACUAGUACUUUUGCACCUAUAUGGAAAGUAAAUUAGUAUAAAUACCAAAAGGUUUUUCUGAGUUUACAAAUUAUCAAAAAUAAGAAAAUUCAAAUCUUUUACCUCACAUGAAAACUUAUCUAGUAGUUUUGGUUUAUACUACAGUAAACUUAUUGAGACAUCAUUUAUUAAAGAAACAAAAAACUUUAAUACCUCUUAAUAAUUUCCAAUUAUUGUAACUGCAGGAUCUCCAAAAACUACGACAAGGCUUAAUGAUUAUUAUUAUCAUGUGUAAAUCCUUGAUAUGAUCCAAUUUUAGUUUUCUGAGUAAUCAUGCAUAAUGAUAAAACAAUAUUAAGGACCCAAUUUAAGUGUAUGAAUAUAUAAACUAGGCGUGAUACUUCUUGACUCCUCAAUUGUUGCAUGUAGCAUCAAAAAAGUUACUACAAAGACUUUUGUAUGAUGAUGGCAGUCUCUCUAUACAUCGGUGGAAGCACUUAGAUUUGUGUAAGGGAAUGUUGAUGAAGUUAACAUUUGUGCAUUUGAAUUGGUAAUGCAUAAACCAAUCAACAUUUAUGUAUAAUAUUUUAAACAACUAUUUACAAAUAUGACAAGAUAUUCAUGGUAUUUUUUUAGAUUUUAUUUUAAUGAGUGGCCAAAAGGUACAAGUGCAAUGAAUAUGCAAUAUCAUUUUUCUUAAAAAGUUGAGAAUUAUGAAAAGGUCGUAAGAUGCUCUGACCAUGUAGUGGUGAGUGAUAAUAGGAUGACAUCAAUAUAAACUGUGGUUAGUAGCUCAUAAUUAUAAUGUACUAUCAUUCAGUCAUAUUUUGAAGCACUUAACAAUUCCAUAUUAAAAAACCUCAUCAAUUUCAAAUUAUUUGGAAGGAUAAAGAGGUGUCACAACUAGGAUGCCUUCAAACUUUCAGACCAACAAUGUCAGAUACUUAAAUUGAAACUAAGUGAGGUUGGUUGGUUCAAUUUUAAACCUUGUUUAAAUAAUCAUGGGAUUACAUGUCCAAGAUAUUAACCAAAUAUGCAUGAAAUUAUGCUCUCAAAUGCUUUUACGAUUUUACCUUAACACAACCCGAGUAAUGGCCAAAUCAUCUUCACAGGGAUAACACUACAAUAUUUGAAAAGCAUAUUAGUGAACCUUUCUAAAAAUAUGCCAAAAAUACAAAAUGAAUUCCAAAGUUAAAAAGUUAGUAACAUAAUGCAAAUGUUGAACCAAGUUUUAGCAUAAAAACUAAGAUCAAACUUUUUUGUAUGCAUCGACAAAAUUUGCAAAGUUGAACUAAAUAACAAGGAAUAAGAAAGUUAGGGGGCUGCCCCUGCCCAAAAAGCACAUUAGAUUAGUAGAAAACUUAAUCGGAUCAUUUCCUCUCACAAAAUGAUAUGUCACUUUAUUCAUCUCCUGCAUGUCAAAAGCACAUUGUCAUUUAUUUAUACAAACAAAGGUCAUAUUAAUUAGUUUCAAGGUUAAGUGAAGCUUUUCAAGAGAAGCAACAAUGAAGAUUAUAUUCCCUAUAAGUGAUAUUAUGAUACAUACCACCUCAGGACUAUAAAAAAAUAUGUACUCAGCCAGAAGAAUUUGCAGUUUUGGAGCUCCAUUACUACUUGUUCCAAAUUUAGCAGACCACCUGAAUAAAAUAGCAGCAAAGUCAAAAAUAUUGCUCAGAGGAACAAAUGAUUACAACAUAAACAACAAUGAAUAAAUAUGCUUUUAGAUUCACUAUUUUUCACUAUAUGUUACUUUAAAUUCACUAUUUUUUUUCUCUUUUUUGGCUCGUGGAAGAACUAAACAAUAUAUGGAAUUAUGAUAUGAUCUUAAACUUGUUUGAACCUGUGAACUUUAAACAAAGAAUAAUUGCAAAGGAACCUUUAUUUGACCACUCACAAGGUAAAAUAGAUCUAAUAGUUUUAACAUCUCUGUCGUCGUCAUCUUCAUUGUCAUCAGCAUUCGGCAAAGCCAUUACUUGAGCAAGGCAUUGAGCAAUGACUUUGUAGCAACAUUCUAAGUUAUUUUAAUGCUUGAAAUUCAGUGAGGGAAGAUGAGUUGGCAUGUCCAUUACAUGAGUGUGACAGAGACGACAUCACAUUUUUAGAUUCACUACUCCAUUGUCGCUCCAUCUUCCUAGGUCACUAUUACCCUUUCCAAAACUUCUGUUUAGUUAGUCAUUAAUGUACAUUACUGGUAUUAUUCAUUACCCCAAAUGGUUAGCUAGUGCUUUAUUGUAUUUGAGCAACUAAAAAUCAAGAGACAGAUUGAAAAUUGAAGCAGAGAUUAAUAAGUAACAAUCAACUUUAUUAAUUAAUUAACAACUGCUCUAUCUUUAUUAUAACACUAAAUUUCGAUAUAUCUAGUAGACAAACCACCACCCCAUGCAAACUUGCUGCAAAUAGAACAAAGAAACAAGAUCAUAGAGCCAAACCUGCUACUUAUGUUUUAGGAAAUCUGCGACUAGUUUCCAAAUCUUCCCUUAUACCAAAAUAUAAGAUAAAUUCAAUUUAGUAGUAUCAAUUAACAAUAUCCUGCAUACAGUUUACAAACACAUAUUGUAUAUGGCGAAGGAAGUGGAAAAUGAUAUGUAUUUCUCCUAAUGAACACUAAUGUAUCCUAAAAGUGAAAUAAUUUCUUCGAACACACCAUUAGAUGUGCCUAGUUCCUCUUCCCCUAUCAUAAUAGAGCCACCGUCUACGUAUCUCACAAAAUGUCUGCAGAGCAGACAUAACUCAUAACAGUUUGCUAAUCUUAAAAUAUAAGGAAGUAAACACCUAAUACUAAUCUAAAAACUCAUUAUAGUUGCAAACCAUGAUAUAAAAAAGAUAAACCAUAAUUUUACCUUGAAAUCAACCUUAGAAGAAGAGUAACAAUGCGGACGAGCGGCCGAUUGCAAAAAUGCGCCAAAUCAGAUUAACAAUCAAGGUUAUGUGAUUAUUAGUGUUGAUUGCUAGGGUUCGAUGUCAGUAUCCAUGCCGAUUAGGUGUGAUUCAAACUUCAAAUAAUUUUUAGGGUUUGAUCUUCAACGAAUUUUAGGGUUGGGCUUCGGUUAAGAAAAGGGAUGGAGGAAGGAGAGAAGAGCUUGGAGCGUGAGGAAAGAAGCUGCGACAGAAAUGGUCAUGAAGCUUUAAUCGAAAUUGGAAGGAUAAUGAGUGAAGAUGAGAUUGAGGAUAUAGAGGUUGAAAUUUGGGGAAAGGAAAAUGUGAAUUAGGAGCAUAUCAAUUCCCACUAAUGAUAUGAAAGUUCAAUAAGAUAAGAGAACAAUAAGGAGCAUAAAAA